rnacentral:lncRNA from 1 species
CUCCACAUAACAGUGUACUAAUUUUUAUGCUUAAGAGCCUCAAUUUUUAGAUGAGAUAAUUAAAAUAGUUUCCAUAGUAGCCCAUGAAUAAGAACUGGAUCUAUUCCAAAAAACAAGGUGAUGGCUAAACGCACUGUCCAAUGAUCAGCAAUUUUAUUAAUUCUUUUUUAACAGCAAAAUCUCCUAAUAUGGAUGGAAAAUAAAACUAACA